UAGCGGAGGAGAAAGAAACUACCUUAGGAUUCCCCUUAGUAACCGGCGAGGUGAACCGGGGAUGAGCUCAAAUUUUAAAAUCUGGGCGUCUUUCAGGCGUCCGAGUUGUAAUCUAUAGAGGCGUUUUCCGCGCGGGACCGCGUCCAAGUCUCUUGGAAUAGAGUAUCAAAGAGGGUGACAAUCCCGUACUUGACGCGACAACCGGUGCUCUGUGAUACGUUCUCAAUGAGUCGAGUUGUUUGGGAAUGCAGCUCUAAAUGGGUGGUAAAUUCCAUCUAAGGCUAAAUAUUGGCGAGAGACCGAUAGCGAACAAGUACCGUGAGGGAAAGAUGAAAAGCACUUUGGAAAGAGAGUUAAACAGCACGUGAAAUUGUUAAAAGGGAAACGAUUGAAGUCAGUCGUGUGAAAGGUAUUCAGCCGUCUCUGGCGGUGUAUUUGCCUUUCACGGGUCAACAUCAGUUUGAUCCGGUAGAAAAAGGCGGGAGGAAGGUGGCACCCUCGGGUGUGUUAUAGCCUCCUGUCAUAUGUGCCGGACCAGACUGAGGAACGCAGCUUGCCGCAAGGCCGGGGUUCGCCCACGUACAAGCUUAGGAUGUUGACAUAAUGGCUUUAAACGACCCGUC
rnacentral:rRNA from 1 species